UACGAAGGGGGCUAGCGUUGUUCGGAAUUACUGGGCGUAAAGCGCACGUAGGCGGAUUUUUAAGUCAGGGGUGAAAUCCCGAGGCUCAACCUCGGAACUGCCUUUGAUACUGGAGAUCUUGAGUUCGGAAGAGGUUGGUGGAACAGCUAGUGUAGAGGUGAAAUUCGUAGAUAUUAGCUAGAACACCAGUGGCGAAGGCGGCCAACUGGUCCGAUACUGACGCUGAGGUGCGAAAGCGUGGGGAGCAGACAGG
rnacentral:rRNA from 1 species